AGCGGCACCCGAGGCGGCCAGAUUUCGGAUUACCGCGGCCGUGUCGUGCUCGACAGAGACGAGUGUGCGAGGCCCAGAGUUCGGGUGGUCUGAAUCGGUGAGCCCUGCUCCAGCUGCUGCUGGUGUGGCUGAAGAGGAUGUGGCCCAGGAUCUUCCCCGUGCCCCAACUCCUCAUGCCGCAGCUGCGAGAUGGGGGCAACCGGCAGGCCGAGGCGCUGGAGUUACUAGCCGCAAACACCAGGCGGCAGGGCCAGGCAUCAUUGGAAAGCUGCGCCAGGUUCAACUUCUCGGUGACGUGGUCCACGAACUGCAAGGCGUUGGUACCCUCGCCCGGGCCCUCAUUGCAGCGGAAGCCACCUGCACAGUGAUUUGUAAAGACUAGUUGUACAUACAUGUAGAUUUAUUUUUGUUCACAUCACGAGCUAUGAUACGCUUGCUUGCUUCAAUGGUGCCCUGCAAUUUUUUCUCAGUUAAUUUUCUUUUUCUGCAUAUCAGAAGCACUGAUGUGCUGUUUCAUUGUACAUGCAUUCAGAAAUUCAGCAGUCAUGCAUUCAGCAAUUUUGUAGUAUAUGCACAUAGUGCACUGUAGUGUAUCUUUAUGUUUACAGUGUAUACGUGUAGAAUAUUGUGGCACACUGUACGUUUUCUAUCGAUUUUUACACAUCCUAGAAAAAAAGAAAUGCGUUUGUGAACGGUCUAGGUUGCACAACAAUUUUGAAAUAUUGCAAGACCAAAAAAUAGUUGACGAAUACGUGUUCUGUUGCUUAGAAGUGUUUAGACAAUAGGAUUGGGUACAAACAGAAAUCAAUAGUAGAGGAAGACAUAUCAGCAACCAACAACUUGCAUUUUUUUAGCGAGUUCGAUUAAUACCGGUUCGACUGUGCCUUGUUUUCAUGUAAUACAAUGACUUUCGUGCUGCGAGACGCGUGUGUUGCUGCAGAGGAGCAGCAGGCACUUUGUAGUAACUCCAUUUGUAUAUUAU